AAUGCUCCUGAUCGAUGGAUCAUCACGAGGACGGUGAUCGAUCCGAUGAGAUCAGUGCAUACAUUACUUUCCCUAUGGAUGGACGAGACUCGAGUCCACGGUGUGGAGACACUGAAGUAAUAGUGCAGGUGCUUGUUAGAGAACAAGGGUACUGAGUGUGACCAAGACAAGAAGUCACUUGGAUGUCUAUCCACUCGUCAGUGACUUGCUUGAUGUUGCAGUAGUGUGACUGGUCCUUUGACCUGCGAUGCUACGGCUACUCACAGUGAGGUUAUUGU
rnacentral:lncRNA from 1 species